CAGAGUAUAAGUAGUCCCAGCGCCGCUCCUUCGUCACGCUGCUUUGGUCGUCGUCUUCUAACUCGUUAACAGGUGAAACCUGACUUUUUGUUGUAUUUUAUAAGCUAUUGGACUUUUACAGUUACUAUUGUUAAGGAUUAGAAGCCAUAUCGGUUGUUUUAAGGCACGAAAUGAACGGUAGUUGUGUUUGUUAGUCAAACGUUUGAUGUCGCCGCGUCUUGUAUCAGUCGUUACAUUCGGCUAAAAAGGGCAUUUUGCAGACUGUUUUAUUGUAUUACCUUACUUUUGGUCGGUGUGACGCUGUCCAAAUUCCAUUUUAAUUGAAGUGGUUUGAGUGGAAUGUGGUCUGAGGACACAAAGACACCCACUGGAAACAUUCGUUUUCCAUCUAAUUAAACACAUCGGCAUUGUAUCCUAAUUUUCAUCAUAAAAACAUUGUUCCAGUGCAGUUGCAGGACAAACCUGUUGUAUUGUAACCUCUCCAUUGUUGCCACCACCAUGGUGAGGUCCAUAGAGCUCUCUGAGGCCUCCAGGAUGGAAAUUGUGGAAGCAUAUGCGUCCGGGAAAGGCUACAAAAAGAUCUCCAAACAAUUUGAAAUCAGCCCUUCUACUAUACGGAAAAUAAUUUACAAAUGGAAGACGAAUAAAACGACUGCCAACAAGCCCAGGUCUGGCCGGCCCAGCAAGUUCAGCACAUCAGCAGACUGCAAGAUGCUUAAGGAACUGUCCAAAAACCCUCAAAUGUCGUCACGGGACCUACAGGAAGCUCUGGCCUCGGUCGACGUCAAAGUGCACGCGUCCACCAUCAGGAAGAGGCUACACAAGUUUGAAUAUGCAUGGGAGGCAUGCCAGAAGGAAACUCUCGCUGUCAAAGAACAAGAACAAGGCGAGACCAAAGAACAUCCAGACCAACACCAAGGCGAGACCAAAGAACAUCCAGACCAAGAUGGUUCACAAGCUAGCAGUAGCUCGCACGCUGCCAGCAGCCCACAAACUACCAGUAGCUCGGCUGAGCAGACUAAAUAACUACGUACAUUAAGGACUUUGAAUUUUUGUUUUUACCGAAUUUUUACGAGAGAUCAGAAACCCUGAGAGCAUUUUCAGAAGUUAGCGUGUUUAGCAAAUGUUAGUCAUAAAGUACAACACUUGCUGCUCUUAUUUUUAUUUUUUUCUAGAAAAGUCGCUCUUGUGAAAAGUGUUGGAGAGCCCUGAUCUAGACCGAGGCCAGGACUUGUAUAGCAAUGUUGACUGAAAACAUUUUAAACAAUAAUGAUACAGUUUGCAGCAAUUAUUAGCUGGCCGUCAUUUGUUUAUCAAAAGGCUUGUCGGGCCUUUUUUAGUCAUGGUUCUGUAUUUUAGUAGCUUGUAUGCUACAAGCUCCAGUUUGUUAUUAAUGCACAAUGUGGAGUAUAUGGAUGAGUUAUUAUUGGAAGGAACAGACUUUGUUAGAAGAUGAUGGAUCCGGGAGGAGUGAGACAUGUUGAUGACACUUCAGCCCAACUGGAGAAGUCCAGAAUGUUGGUGUUGGGAGAGCCAACAGUUUUCUUGAACACCAGCAAGCAGACCCUGAAAAGGAUUAAAACCCCGGAGACAGCGAUGAGCGUCUCUUUACUACCUGGCUGCUGUCUAUUACAAUGAGUAUGCUGACUAUUAUCCAAAAAGAAAAUGCAGACCUAAACUGUGAGCAAUAAAUUAUUUUAAUUUUCACCCAAAAACAAGUUUUGAGCUUCAAAUUUCCAAAUGGCAACCAAAACUGUGCAAAAAAACAUUUAAAAGGGGAACUGCUCUUUUUCAUCAUUCACUAUCCCUCUGUUAGACAAUAACAGUCUUUUCUCUGCAUUCUAAAUGGUUAAAAACUGAUAGACUUAGACUUCCUUUUAUUGUAAUUCAAAUAUGAACUGGAUCGGUUUGCAGCCGAGUGUGAAGCGACUGGGAUGGGAAUCAGCACCUCAAAGUCCGAGUCCAUGGUUCUCGCCCGGAAAAGGGUGGAGUGCCAUCUCCGGGUUGGGGGGCAGAUCUUGCCCCAAGUGGAGGAGUUCAAGUACCUCGGAGUCUUGUUCACGAGUGA